rnacentral:tRNA from 1 species
UGUCUCAGUAGCUCAGCAGGAUAGAGCAACGGCCUUCUAAGCCGUCGGUCAGGGGUUCGAAUCCCUUCUGGGACGUCAU